GCAUAUCCAAAAAUCCCCUUGCAGUUUCUAGAUUUACCUUGCAAACAUCUUCCUUCUCAGAAUGUGCUUCUGGCUUACUUUCAGCAGUUUCGUGCGGCUCGGCCACUUUGUCUGAGACAGUAUGUCCUUCACUUACUGUCUCUUAUACACAUCUC